CAAUACUUUGUUUUUUAUGUUACUCUGAGUGUAUAUCCACACCGGAUGUGCUGAAAACUUUUCAGCCUGUCCGGUGUGGAUAUACACUCAGAGUAACAUGAAAAAC